GCCGAAGUGGCGAAACAGGUAUACGCAGUUGAUUCAAAAUUAACCGCACUAGUUAGUGCUUGCCGGUUCGAUUCCGGCCUUCGGCA
rnacentral:tRNA from 2 species